rnacentral:lncRNA from 1 species
AUUUGGCUGUGCCAAAAUGGUCCUGGGAACAGAACCCAGAUGUGAACCCAGGCUGAAUUUCUGGGCAAGGGCUGCUCCACAACCAAAUCCUGCCCCUGGCUUGGCAAGACGUGGCUUGUGCUGAGAGGAACAUACCUUUGGGAUUGUCACGUGUGCUCCUGGUGUGUCACAACAGCCACAGCUGGGCCCUGCUGAGGGGAAAAUGAGCUAGAAUUGUGCUGGUUCCUAAAGAUCCAUCUAGAAACAGAACUUCUCCAUCCUUCUGGAUUAUUGUCUCACAUUUAUCCACUGGAAUUAAGACCUAUGCGUGGGAAAAGACAUCCAGGAGAGUGUUUGGAUGUUAUUUAGCACAGGGAGGCCGCAUUUCUGAACUGGUAGGGGCUGAUCCCAGGGCUCAGAGUGUCAAAUCCCCUCAGGUUUCCAGGUAAAAGUGUGGAUGCACUGCCUCUACCUGAGGAGCUUUGCAGUGCUGCUUUCCCAUCUCGGAUGAAGCAGGACGAGCACGGGAGCUGGAAGGACUUGAAGCCGCAGAGAGGACGUGGAAUUCUGUUGGCUGCUUGCAAGGAAAGGAAGGAAAACAUUCUCCACUCAGUUCCUCACACCUUCUGAAAAGGAUGAUGAAUGGGCUGGUUCUGCCUAAGGGAGUGUGUUCAAGCGCAAGGUGGCUCCGUGUCAAAGCUCAGCUGUUAUCGCUGGCUGAUUGUGCCUGCACGAGGAUCCUUCCGUGCUGAAUCUACACAAAUGGGGAAGAAAAAGAGAUGGAAGAGGCUGACAGUGUGCUACGAGGAGGUCAAAGCUGGGAAUCCACAGAUGGAGGGUGCAAAACAUAGCCAAAACCCCAGCAAGUUUCUGGCUCACAAUGGAUUGUGAAUAGAAGGAAUAAACAAUAAAGAGAAUCCUUAAAAACCCUCCA